rnacentral:rRNA from 1 species
AUUGAACGCUGGCGGCAUGCUUUACACAUGCAAGUCGAACGGUAACAGGCCGCAAGGUGCUGACGAGUGGCGAACGGGUGAGUAAUGCAUCGGAACGUGCCCAGUCGUGGGGGAUAACGCAGCGAAAGCUGCGCUAAUACCGCAUACGAUCUACGGAUGAAAGCGGGGGACCGUAAGGCCUCGUGCGAUUGGCGCGGCCGAUGUCAGAUUAGGUAGUUGGUGGGGUAAAGGCUCACCAAGCCGACGAUCUGUAGCUGGUCUGAGAGGACGACCAGCCACACUGGGACUGAGACACGGCCCAGACUCCUACGGGAGGCAGCAGUGGGGAAUUUUGGACAAUGGGCGCAAGCCUGAUCCAGCAAUGCCGCGUGCAGGAAGAAGGCCUUCGGGUUGUAAACUGCUUUUGUACGGAACGAAACGGCUCUGGUUAAUACCUGGGGCUAAUGACGGUACCGUAAGAAUAAGCACCGGCUAACUACGUGCCAGCAGCCGCCGUAACAC